CCUCCCGCGCGUGCAGCCCCGCACCCUGGAGUCCUCCCCGGUGUCCCGGCGCGUGCCGGAGGUGCAGACACGCGCGAGAGGCCUUCAGGGCUGGUCGAGGGCCGCAGCCCUCGCCCGCCGCCUCGGGCCCUGCCCCUCAUCUGGGUAGGGGUCCCCACACCGGGAUUCUUGAAGCCGAAACCUCAGCUUGGUGCUGAGGCGAGGUCUGAACCCUUGUCUCCUCUCCACAUCGUUAUUGUCUCGGAAAGUGAAUUCUGUGCUUCCCGUGUACUCUGAGUGUGAUUCGAGACAAGUGUUUCGUCUCAGCUUUUUUUAAAAGAUGGGUUUUGCUCCAUUGCGCAGGAUGGCUCUGACCUCCGGGGCUCCAGUGAUCCACCUGCCUUAGCCUCCCAAGUAGCUAGAACCACAGGUAUGUCGGGCUUGGGACAGACCUUUAAAACUUGACUGCAUCUCCGCGUGCCCCUUGCCUUCUCCCGGUUACACUGGCGGCUUCUGCUGGUGUUCUGGCCCUCCUCCCGGUGUGUUUGACUUAACCCAUCAGCCAUCCCCUUCCUGCUUUUCCCAGCGAGGGAGAUAACGCCUCUCCCUUCCUUCAAAACCCGCCUGGGCACCGGUUCCCAGCAUAUUCUCUCCAGUCUGGCAGCCCCCUUAGCACACGCUCCAAUUCUGUCCACCCUCAGGAAGAGGAAACCAACGCAAAGCAGGAAGAGGGUCGCUGUGUCUCCCUGUAAAAACAGCAGGAGGUUACUGAAAGAGCUGGCGACGCUGGGCAACAAAGCUACACAGCUGUCUGAAUCUUCGCGCUGCCUCCAGAUUGUGCCCACUCUGGGGCGGAGUCUGCAACCCGGUGACAUGGGGCAUGAUCGUAGCCAGCCCCGAGGUUGGUGGAUGGACCAAGACGACAGAGGUAUAUAGGUCUUCCAUGAUAUAAAAACAAGAUUCUGCUGGGCAUGGUGGCACAUGCCUGUAAUCCCAGCACUCAGGAGGCUGAGGCAGGAGAAUUAUUGCGAGUUCGAGACCAGCCUGGGCUACAAAGUGAGCUCAAGGCCAGCCUGAACUGCAUAACAAGACCUUGUCUCAAAAAAGACAAAAAAAUAAAAAUAAAAAAUAAAUAAAACCAAGAUUCUCUCCGAUAAUAACCUUUUUAGACCCUGACAUCUGCCUUUCUCUUGUGCUCCAGCUACUUGUGAUAAGAUGUACAUGUAAAGCCAGCAUGAGAUCACCAAAUAAUAGCUGUUUUUAAAAAAUUAUGUGAUGUAUAUGUUUUAUGUGUCACUCUGUUCUAUACUACGAUGGGGAUUUAAGUGUGUUACAAAAAUAAUGUCAUCAUGAUUGUCAUGCUAAAAUACUAUAUCUGGCUCUUGAUCUCAACCUUUCUCUGUAAACUAUCUAACUGUUGUUUGUUAACAUUCUUCAGGGCUACAACUACUAAAACAACCAUGGUUGAUAGGAAAUAAGAGUCCUCUGGCUAUACUUUAUAUUUCAAAGUGCUUGAGGUACAGAUGAAAUUAUAACAGUUGAACUCACUGCUUCCAUUACAGUACUAAUGUCACUAAUCUUCUCUUCUGGGUAUUCAACAACUAAAGUUUAGAAAUUGGUUUGUUUUUGGGUUUUUUUACAUUUUUCUUCCAGUACCAGGAAUCAAACUCACUACCUUGCACUUGCCAGGCAGGCACUUUGCCACUGAGCUAAAUCCCCAGCCCCCAAGUUUAGAAAUUGGAACCUAAAGGUAACUGGGCUAAGAGAACAGCCAAUAUUUUGACCCUGGCACUCCAAGGUCAGUGAGGACCCAGGACAUGAGCAAACCUUUUCUAUGAGAGCCUACAACUUUGGUGAGUCACCCAACCUCCUGAGCAGGGAGAUUUCUGGACUCCAGGGGACAAGAAUCAACAAGUAUAGUGUGCCAAAGGAGGGUCACCAAGAGGGAAAAGUCUCCCACGCUUUCACAGAAAGCAACA
ensembl:lincRNA